UAACGCGUUUACCUUAAGAAACCACAAAAACAGGCCGAUAAUCUCCAGCAAACUCCUGAAUGAGUUGUAGUAGUCACGAUGCUUCCGUCAUGACGUACGGAGUUCCCGCGAGAUGUAGAGCAAAAUACUACUUCCUGCCGCAAGCAGUGAGCAACAGUUACAGAAAGUAAGUUGGCUCUCAUGGGAGCACAUGAAGAGGACUCUGAGCUGCUGCAGACAUUGACAAGGCUGGCAGUUCUUCAAGAAGAACAUGGAGAAGAUGUCCCGGGUUACCACAGCCCUCGGCAGCAGUGCCAUCAGUGGCCGAACUAUGUUCUGCCACUUGGACGCUCCUGCAAACGCCAUCAGCGUGUGCCGUGACGCCACGCAGGUGGUGGUAGCUGGCCGCAACAUCUUCAAGAUCUACGCGCUGGAGGAGGAGCAGUUUGUGGAGAAGCUGAAUCUACGCGUCGGCCGCAAACCUUCUCUCAACUUCAGUUGUGCAGAUGUCAUGUGGCACCAGAUGGAGGAGAACCUGCUGGCCACGGCUGCUACCAAUGGGGCGGUGGUCACCUGGAACCUUGGAAAACCCUCUCGUAACAAGCAGGACCAGCUGUUUACUGAGCACAAACGCACCGUCAACAAGGUGUGCUUCCAUCCCACAGAGGUGUAUAUGCUGUUAAGUGGCUCUCAGGAUGGCUUCAUGAAGUGCUUUGACCUGCGCAAAAAGGAGUCUGUCAGCACUUUCUCAGGUCAGUCAGAGAGUGUAAGGGACGUCCAGUUCAGCAUGAAGGAUUAUUUCACAUUUGCUGCAUCCUUUGAGAAUGGCAAUGUCCAGCUGUGGGACAUCAGACGGCCAGACCGCUACGAGCGGAUGUUCACCGCCCAUACUGGCCCUGUGUUCUGCUGCGACUGGCACCCUGAUGACAGGGGAUGGCUGGCCACUGGUGGCCGGGACAAGAUGGUGAAAGUGUGGGACAUGACCACCAACCGGGCCAAGGAGAUCUACUGUGUCCAGACGAUUGCCUCAGUGGCACGGGUCAAGUGGCGGCCUGAGAGGAAGUUUCAUUUAGCCACCUGUUCCAUGAUGGUGGAUCACAACAUCUAUGUGUGGGAUGUCCGCAGACCUUUCAUUCCCUUCGCCACAUUUGAGGAACACAAGGAUGUGACCACUGGUAUUGUGUGGCGCCACCAGCACGACCCUCAUUUUCUACUUUCUGGCUCUAAGGACAGCACACUUUACCAACACAUGUUCAAGGAUGCCACCCGUCCCGUGGACAAGGCCAACCCCGAGGGUCUGUGCUUUGGACUGUAUGGUGACUUGGCCUUUGCAGCCAAAGAGAGUCUGAUCAGCAGCGACGCCAACAGAAAGCCUUACCCUGGAGGCGACCGACGCUACCCAAUUUUUUUCUUCAAGAAGCCCGACCCGACCGAACAGUUUGCCCAUGUGUCCAGUGCCCUUAGCGUCUUUGAGACAGACUUGGACAGUAACCGCAUGGACUGGUUUGUGAAGACAGCACAACUCUACCUCCUCUGUGGGAAGCCAUUUGCCGAGCUGUGUGAUCACAAUGCAAAAGUGGCGCAGGAGCUCAGAAGACCUCAGGUUUCCACAACAUGGACCAUGUUGAGAAUCAUGUUCUCUGACCCAGCAAACCUCACAACGCCCGGUCUAAACCACAACCUCAAUAAACUGGGCACCUUGCCUUUAAUGAACAGUUUCAACAUGAAGGAAAUUAGUUCAGGGAUGGGCACAGAGAGCAGACUGGAGCGCAGUAAAGGUGAGAGCAGGCAGGACAACAUCCACCUAGAGCCUGGAAACUCGCACGCCACCAAUAAUAAUGAAGAAAAUGAGGAGACCGAGGGAAGCGACGGCCAGGCUGAGUACAUGUUCUGUGAUGCUGAGUUAGAUGACGAUGACCUCUACUCCAUGGAGAAUGACAACCAAGCAGAAGAGCAGGAGUACACGCUGCCCCAGGAGGCCUUCCAGCUGCGCCACGAGAUCAUAGAUAACCUUCCUGCUCCAGAGCACCUUCAACAGGACAAGGCCGACUCCCCCCACGUCAGCGGCAACGAGGCAGAAGUCAAUUUUUUGACACCCAUCGAGUCCUUCUCGCUCAUCUCCAUUUCCCAGUCACUCUUCAGCCCACAUUUACCCGCCAGCUUCUUCUGUCCCAUUGUGCGGGAAAUGCUGAGCUAUUAUGCCGAGCAGGGCGACGUGCAGAUGGCCGUGUCUGUGCUUAUCGUCUUGGGGGACCGCAUUCGCAAAGAGAUUGAUGACCUCACCCAGGAGCACUGGUACAUGUCCUACAUAGACCUGUUGCAACGAUUUGAGUUGUGGAACGUGUCCAAUGAGGUCAUCAAGUUGAGUACGUGCAGUGCCAUAACCUGCCUGAACCAGACAUCUACAACACUUCAUAUCAACUGCAGCAACUGCAAGCGGCCAAUGAGCAACAAGGGCUGGAUUUGUGACAGGUGCCACCAGUGUGCCAGUGUGUGUGCAGUUUGCCACCAUGUGGUAAAGGGACUGUUUGUGUGGUGUCAGGGCUGCAGCCAUGGUGGACAUCUGGAGCACAUAAUGAACUGGCUCAAGAGCAGCGCUCACUGCCCUGCUGGCUGCGGCCACCUGUGUGAGUACACCUGAGCCCAUCACAACCACUGUUCACACAGCUGCUGCUCUGAGGGAAUCGAACCUCACACCGGCCUAGAUCAGACACACACACACCUUAGACAAAUGAAACGCCUUUAUUCCUUCACAUGGGCCUGGAUCCUUUAAUCACUGUGGAAAUGUGUGUGUGUGUGUGUGUGUGUGUGUGACAUCUGUUGGAGGAUAAGUGCUACAUGUGCUCUCCUGGACAGCCAUUCAAGAGCAAAGACAUUCAUAUUUGAAUUAGUGAAAUUGUAUAUAAGCAUAUGUUACAAUAAAUAUAACAAUAUUUUUUUUUGUGGAUUCACACUUGGUGCAUUUUACGUUGUUUUUAAACCCCUCGAAAAAUCCCGAAGGCUGUCCAGGAAGAAUUCUGUUAAUCUGAGGUAGAUUGUUAAUGUUUGUACAUAAUGCUACAUCUUAUUUUGAAAGACUGUAGAUAAUGUUGAAUUAAUUUAUAUAAGAAAUGGCUCUCUAUUCCAACAAUAUAUUAAAGCAAUACACUUGAAGUUG